rnacentral:rRNA from 1 species
GGAUUAGAUACCCUGGUAGUCCACGCCGUAAACGAUGUCGACCAGCCGUCGGAUCCAUUCAAGGGUUUGGUGGCGCAGCUAACGCGAUAAGUCGACCGCCUGGGGAGUACGGCCGCAAGGUUAAAACUCAAAGGAAUUGACGGGGGCCCGCACAAGCGGUGGAGCAUGUGGUUUAAUUCGAUGCAACGCGAAGAACCUUACCAGCCCUUGACAUCGAGAGAAUCCUGCAGAGAUGCGGGAGUGCCUUCGGGCCUUGAAGACAGGUGCUGCAUGGCUGUCGUCAGCUCGUGCCG